rnacentral:rRNA from 1 species
UACGUAGGGUGCAAGCGUUGUCCGGAAUUAUUGGGCGUAAAGAGCUUGUAGGCGGUUUGUCGCGUCUGCUGUGAAAUUUCGGGGCUCAACCCCGAACUUGCAGUGGGUACGGGCAGACUAGAGUGUGGUAGGGGAGACUGGAAUUCCUGGUGUAGCGGUGAAAUGCGCAGAUAUCAGGAGGAACACCGAUGGCGAAGGCAGGUCUCUGGGCCAUAACUGACGCUGAGAAGCGAAAGCAUGAGGAGCGAACAGG